rnacentral:lncRNA from 1 species
CAAUAUUAUUGGCUUUGAAUUUAACAUUUAAGGUAAGGCUUUAUGUGUUUAUUUAAUUAGUCUAACUUUAUUUUGUUAUUUAAUUAAUGUAAUAAUUAUCAUAUAUGUUUAGAUUAUUUGAUUAUAAUUAUAAUUUUAUUUAUCAUGUAAUCUCAAAAAAAAUUUUCUCAAGACUCAUUUUCAAUUAAAAAAAAAAAACAGCCCACUAAUACUUUACUCAAAUUAAUAGAUGGUACAAUAAUGAAAAUGAGGUGAGACUUGAGUCAUCCUGUUUGUAAUUCAUAGGGAAAAUGAAAGAGUUGAUCCAAGCAAGGUAUGAUUGAAUUGUCUUCCAGCUAUGCACUAAUAAUAUUUUGUAUUCAUUGUAUGUUUCUACAAACUUUUUUUUUUUUGAUAAUAACAUGUGGGGCGGUUAGAUUAAAACAGUAAUUAUGAAAUUAUUUUAAGUGAAGAUAUUUUGAACAAGGGCAACAGACAAAUCCAUGGAUUGCAUUUGUCGAAAUCAUCACUGGGGUCCCAUUUAUUUGCGUUGGUUUCUUUUAGACCACAUUUUCACCCACCUUUCCUACGGUUGAAAACUUGGAUUUUUGCAUUAGAUUCUUCUUUAAAAUUAAUGCUUGUUAGGUAAUAUGAAAAGAUGUCGAUAAAUCGCACAUUACGUGAACCAAUUCUACACUCUACUUUGAAAAAAAUCUUUUCGAAAACAAAGUUUAAUUAAGUCUUCUAUUUUAACUAUACCUCAAAUUAAUUUAAAAUUUUAAGAUUUUAAGUUUAAAUUUUAUUAUAUGUGUAUUUAAUUUAAUUUUAUAUUGAAUUUAUCUAAUGAUGUUUUAAUUUAUUUGAUUAUUUAAUGAUUUUUUAUACAUAAAUAUAACAAAUAGUUAUGAUUGUAUUUUAAACUUAUAAUUUCAUAA